CCCUUAGAUGUUCUGGGCCGCACGCACGCUACACUGAUGCAUUCAACGAGUCUAAAACCUGCUCUGAUAGGGGUGGGUAAUCUUUUGAAUGUGCAUCGUGAUUGGGAUAGAUGAUUGAAAUUUUUCAUCUUCAACGAGGAAUGCCUAGUAAACGCAAGUCAUCAGCUUGCAUUGAUUACGUCCCUGCCCUUUGUACACACCGCCCGUCGUUCCUACCGAUUGAAUGAUCCGAUGAAUAUCAUGGAUUGAGGAUGCAAGUAGGUUCACCUAUCUUCAUCUUCGAGAAGUGAAGUAAAUCUUAUCAUUUAGAGGAAGGAGAAGUCGUAACA
rnacentral:rRNA from 1 species